ensembl:snRNA U6 U6 spliceosomal RNA
GUGCUCGCUUCAGCAGCACAUAUACUAAAACUGGAAUGAUACAGAGAAGAUUAGCAGGGCCCCUGUGCAAGGAUCACAUGCAAAUUCGUGAGGCAUACCAUUAAAAA